CUUCCUUGUUGGGUUCAGAGAGAGAGCGCGAGGUUGCCGCUCUGUAUUAACAAGCUACCCAUCUGAUCCUGCAAAGUGGGACCAAAUUGAUGACAGGAUGCGAAACAGCGCGCGGUCCAGAAAUCCUUAAAAUCAACACAACUGCAUUGGAAAAUAAAAGACAGCGCAUGCGCAGCUACCGUUGGAGCCCGCACAUUUUCACAUUCUCCUGCUACUAAACAGGCUCCAUUAUGAAAACAAAGCCCUGAAAAGGUUAACAAACGCAACGUAAAGGCUGCAGGAGCUCAGAGUGGAUGUCUGCGGCAUCGUUGGAGGCCUAGCCGCGUUCAGACAGUAGCGAGUGAACAAACAGCAAAACCUUCUCAGCCAGCAUUCUUGACAUUCUCCUCUAUCACUCAAAGAUAUGUUUAUCUUUCUCUCUUACUUCCAAAUUACAGGGUAGAGACAGAGAGAGGGAGGGCUUCAGGUGCUCCACAACAGCUGGCGAGAGAGAGAAUUUGAAUGAAAAUGUUACAAAAGAUUAUCUCUUGAGAGAUGAAGGGUCAACGCAGAACCGCUAGUUAUUUUAUGAUGGACUCUUGCGUUAGAGAGAUUCUGAGUACACACGGGUCAUCGAUAAACUGGAGUGGUGCUGAGUUGUGGAGACAGAGAAUAGCACAGCUUUGUUUCCCAGGGAACAUCUGAACACAGUGUGUGAAUCAAACAGUACAGUAAACAACACAAAACAGCACUCAAACACAAAUCAAACGUGGAACGUCCCCACUGGAGUCACAACGGCGAACGAACAAUUAAACGUGUAGCCUACAUCAUUUCUGUUUAGCGGGUAUGUCAUUUAUCAUUUAAAAUGUAAUAAGAAACUUUUCUACUUGCACCGCUGUAAUGUAAUAAUGUAUAUAUACACACAGACACUCGGUGUAGAUUCAUGUUGCAGCUCAACAACGC
ensembl:lncRNA